rnacentral:rRNA from 1 species
UACAGAGGAGCCAAGCGUUGUCCGGAUUGACUGGGCGUAAAGCGCACGCAGGCGGUUGGGCGCGUGGGGUGUGAAAUCUGGCCGCUUAACGGCCAGGCGCCAUCCCAUACGGCGCGACUGGAGUGAUGCAGAGGUCGAUGGAAUUGCCGGUGUAGUGGUGAAAUGCGCAGAUAUCGGGAAGAACACCCGUGGCGAAGGCGGCUCUCUGGGACGGUACUGACGCUGAGACGCGAAAGCGUGGGGAGCGAACAGG